GACGAACGCUGGCGGCGUGCCUAAUACAUGCAAGUAGAACGCACAGUUUAUACCGUAGCUUGCUACACCAUAAACUGUGAGUUGCGAACGGGUGAGUAACGCGUAGUAACCUUCCUGGUAGCGGGGGAUAACUUUUGGAAACGAUUGCUAAUACCGCCUAAUUUUUAUUAUUGCCUGAUAAUUGAUUGAAAGAUGCUAUUUCAUCACUUCCAAAUUGACCUGCGUUGUAUUAGCUAGUAGGUGAGGUAACGGCUCACCUAGGCGACGAUACAUAGCCGACCUGAGAGGGUGAUCGGCCACACUGGGACUGAGACACGGCCCAGACUCCUACGGGAGGCAGCAGUAGGGAAUCUUCGGCAAUGGACGAAAGUCUGACCGAGCAACGCCGCGUGAGUGAAGAAGGUUUUCGGAUCGUAAAGCUCUGUUGUAAGAGAAGAACGGGUGUGAGAGUGGAAAGUUCACACUGUGACGGUAUCUUACCAGAAAGGGACGGCUAACUACGUG
rnacentral:rRNA from 1 species